rnacentral:rRNA from 1 species
CCCUUAGAUGUUCUGGGCCGCACGCGCGCUACACUGAUACGUUCAACGAGCUCCUUGACCGAGAGGCCCGGGUAAUCUUUGAAACCGUAUCGUGAUGGGGAUAGAACAUUGCAAUUAUUGUUCUUCAACGAGGAAUGCCUAGUAAGCGCGAGUCAUCAUCUCGCGUUGAUUACGUCCCUGCCCUUUGUACACACCGCCCGUCGCUCCUACCGAUUGAACGUGCUGGUGAAGCGUUAGGACUGGAGGUCUUGGGCCGGUUCGCCUGCCCAUAGCUUCGGGAAUUUCGUUGAACCCUCCCGUUUAGAGGAAGGAGAAGUCGUANCA